rfam:Bacillus sp. X1(2014), complete genome.
CCCGUGGUGACAUGGAAUCUGAAGGAAGCGGGCGGCAAACCUCCGGUCUGAGGAACACGAACUUCAUAUAAGGCUAGGUACCACUGGAUACUUAUGUAGAUACUUCUGGUGACUGGAUGCCGUGGAACUGGGCAGAUGGCGCGGGAAAACAAAUCUA